rnacentral:rRNA from 1 species
UUCCAGACUCCUACGGGAGGCAGCAGUGGGGAAUAUUGGGCAAUGGGCGCAAGCCUGACCCAGCAACGCCGCGUGAAGGAAGAAGGCUUUCGGGUUGUAAACUUCUUUUAUGAGGGACGAAUAAAGUGACGGUACCUCAUGAAUAAGCCACGGCUAACUACGUGCCAGCAGCCGCGGUAAUACGUAGGUGGCAAGCGUUAUCCGGAUUUACUGGGUGUAAAGGGCGUGUAGGCGGGAAUGCAAGUCAGAUGUGAAAACUAUGGGCUCAACUCAUAGCCUGCAUUUGAAACUGUAUUUCUUGAGUGAUGGAGAGGCAGGCGGAAUUCCGUGUGUAGCGGUGAAAUGCGUAGAUAUACGGAGGAACACCAGUGGCGAAGGCGGCCUGCUGGACAUUAACUGACGCUGAGGCGCGAAAGCGUGGGGAGCAAACAGGAUUAGAUACCCUAGUA